rnacentral:rRNA from 1 species
AUUGAACGCUGGCGGCAGGCUUAACACAUGCAAGUCGAGCGAGCGGCGGACGGGUGAGUAAUGUCUGGGAAACUGCCUGAAGGAGGGGGAUAACUACUGGAACCGGUAGCUAAUACCGCAUACCAUCAGCUUUGCCCAGAUGGGAUUAGCUAGUAGGUAGGGUAAUGGCUCACCAAGGCGACGAUCCCUAGCUGGUCUGAGAGGAUGACCGGCCACACUGGAACUGAGACACGGUCCAGACUCCUACGGGAGGCAGCAGUGGGGAAUCUUGCGCAAUGGGCGAAAGCCUGAUGGAGCCAUGCCGCGUGUGUGAAGAAGGCCUUCGGGUUGUAAAGCACUUUCAGCGGGGAGGCGUUACUCACAGAGGAAGCACCGGCUAACUCCGUGCCAGCAGCCGCGGUAAUAC